UACGGGGGGGGCAAGCGUUGUUCGGAAUUACUGGGCGUAAAGGGCUCGUAGGCGGCCAACUAAGUCAUACGUGAAAUCCCUCGGCUUAACCGGGGAACUGCGUCUGAUACUGGAUGGCUUGAGUUCGGGAGAGGGAUGCGGAAUUCCAGGUGUAGCGGUGAAAUGCGUAGAUAUCUGGAGGAACACCGGUGGCGAAGGCGGCAUCCUGGACCGGCAUUGACGCUGAGGCGCGAAAGCGUGGGGAGCAGACAGG
rnacentral:rRNA from 1 species